GGACUUCUUUUUCCCUUUUAUCUCGUAAGCGGAGAAAAGAAUAAGAUCCUCCUUGCCGUGCUUUCUCACAAUGGAAUGAUACUUCUCCGCGUUUGGUCGAUACAAAGCCAACUACUAUAAGAACCAAACUCGUAACCAGAAUUCAUUCCUCUCUCUCUCUCUCUCUCUCUAACUCUGAGUUUUGCAGCCUGUAACUGCAUGUACAAUGGCGGCCACGAAGCUCCUCCUUCUAUCACUCUUCUUAGCCCUAAUUUUUACUCAUGUUAGGGCUGACGUUUCCGUUGGAGGAGAAAACGAGGCUGAUGGAUCCGUUGCCUCUGAUUCCUCCACUCACAAGAUCGAGUUUGAUCAACUCAAGUCUAAGAUCCAAGCCCUUGAAUCUAAAGUUGAGGAGAAAACCAAAGCAUUGAAAGGGAAGAAUGAUAUAAUAGCAGAGAAGGAAAAAAUCAUUCAAGAGAAGUCAGAUAGCAUUUCAUCCUUGCAUGAAGAGGUUGCCUUUCUUCAGAAAAAAGGGACAGUAGAUGCAGAAGAGCAGGUCGGAAAAGCUUAUGCACGUGCUGGUGAAUUGGGGGAACAGGUGGAAAAGCUUAGAAAGGAAGUGGAAACGCAAAAAAAGGAGAGAGAGGCUUUGAAAGCUAAGGCAAAUGAAGCUGAAAAGAAGUUUAAUGAAUUGAGUUCAACAAUAGAGAAUCUCCAGAAGGUUAAUGAGGAACAGAAGUUGAAAAUUCGUAAAAUUGAACGUGCUCUUAAAAUGGCUGAGGAGGAAAUGGUGAAGGCCAAGUAUGAGGCCACUGCAAAAAUUAAAGAGUUAACGGAGGUUCAUGGUGCCUGGCUUCCACCUUGGCUGGCUGUACAUUUAAUUCAGUGUCAGUCCUUUGUGGUGACCCACUGGAAGCUGCAUGGAAAACCAGCGCUGGAACUUGUGAUCCAGAAGGCCCUAGAGAAAAAAUGUCAAGCUGAGAAAUGGGCUGAACCACAUAUGGAGAAAGUAAAAACUAGUGUUAUCCCUUCGUUAAAGGAACAGUGGUUGGUGAUAAGGACAUUUGCUGAACCACAUCUGCAAUCGCUCAGUACAAAAGCUAUUGAAGUUUAUGAGAUUUCGAAAAAUACAUUAGCUCCACAUGUCUUGAAAGCGCAAGAAUUUGUUGAUCCAUGCUUUCAGGAAGCUAAAAAGUACAGCAAACCAUAUAUUGAUCAGGUUGCUACUGUGGCAAAGCCUCACGUUGAAAAUGCACACGAGGUUUUGAAACCCUAUAUGAAAAAAGCAGUUCUUGCUUAUGGCAAGUUUCUUCAAUCUGCGACGACAUACCACCACCAGGUUCAAGCUGCUGUCAAAGAGACACUGAAAAAACAUGAACUGACAAAGCCUCUCGCUACUAAAGAGCUGGAGUGGUUUGCGGCCUCAGCUUUAUUGGCGCUGCCUAUCAUCAUUCUGUUCAGAAUUUUCUCAUCCAUUCUUGGAAAAAAGACAAAGAAACCAGUUAGAAAUGCUAAUACCCAUCAUUCACGUCGUAAAGCUAAACGGGGACAUUCAGACAAGUAGGCAAGCACUUAAAAUUUCACUAGUUUCAUGGUAAAUUUGUGCUCUACGGAAGGGUUUUUUUGAGGCUAUUUUAUUGUCAGUCUACUCAGAUCUCCUCAAAGUCUAUGCCAGCUUUUUGCCCUUUUUGUGAAAAAAGUUAUAGCUUACUUUAUCACACUACGCAAAUAGACAUAUGCCACCCUCAGAAAUUUGAAGUAAACCUGUUCCAUCUGAAUGACGUCACCACUGAAGCACCCAUAGAAGCAUCCAACCCAAAAAAAAAUACUCAAUUAAGACAUUAAUUUAAGGAUUUCAAAUACUUGUGUAUAAGAGUUUUUAGUUUCCUUGAAUUUGUAGAAUUUUAAACAAAAUGAUGCUCCUGCGAUGCUACAAUGAUGGUGCUUUGUAAGUAUGAUUUUUUUAGGCAAAAAAUAAUGCUCUUGUGACGCUCCAAUGAAAACUCGAUCUUUGUGGUCAAAAUGAUGCACCUGCAAUACUAUAAUGAUGGUUUCACCAAAAUUUGAUUUUAGCAUUGUUUUUUGUUUCAAAAAAAGUUUUCAAUGAAUCAUUGUUGUAGCAUCGUUGGUGCAUCGUUUUGAUCUCAAAAAUCAAAUUUUCAUGAGACUAUUGUCGCAACAUCUUCCGUCGUU